GUGGUCUUAGUUUAAUGAUAGAACAGUCUGUUUUCGCCAGACAGGUACGGGUUCAACUCCCUUAGACCAAC
rnacentral:tRNA from 1 species